CCUACGGGAGGCAGCAGUGAGGAAUAUUGGACAAUGGAUGGAAAUCUGAUCCAGCCAUGCCGCGUGCAGGAAGACGGCCCUAUGGGUUGUAAACUGCUUUUAUACGGGAGCAAUAAGGUCUACGUGUAGACUGAUGAGAGUACCGUAUGAAUAAGCAUCGGCUAACUCCGUGCCAGCAGCCGCGGUAAU
rnacentral:rRNA from 1 species